rnacentral:rRNA from 1 species
UACGUAGGGUGCAAGCGUUGUCCGGAAUUAUUGGGCGUAAAGAGCGUGUAGGCGGUCCGGUAAGUCCGCUGUAAAAGUCAAGGGCUCAACCCUUGAAAGCCGGUGGAUACUGCCGGGCUAGAGUCCGGAAGAGGCGAGUGGAACUCCUGGUGUAGCGGUGAAAUGCGCAGAUAUCGGGAAGAACACCCGUGGCGAAGGCGGUUCUCUGGGACGGUACUGACGCUGAGACGCGAAAGCGUGGGGAGCGAACAGG